UGGCUGAGCCCCGGGAGAGUCGGCUGGGGUUUCUCCUUAAGAAGUCGCACCGGUUUGUCGAGCUCUGCUCGGCGCCUUGGACAGCCACGGCAGCGGGAGCGGGCGCUGCCGCCACCCGGCCGGGUGAGUCACUGUUUGGAAAUGGAGUGGGCGGGCGAGGGUGUGAGAGAAUGAAUGAUGUCAGGAGCGCGCAGGGCGGCGGGCGGGGAGAGCGGGCUGCCGGGCCGCGGUAAACACCGAGCGCCGCGCCGCGCCGCGGGCCGAGCGGGCGGGGAGACCCCGCCCUCGGCGCGCACGGAGCCGUCCUCGGCCGCCGAGCCCGGCCGUGCUGCAGCGCCGCGGGCAGCGGCCUCGGGGGCGGCGGCCGCGGGAGGCAGCGGGAGGCAGCGGGAGAGCGGGAGAGCGGGGCCGCGGCGCGCACGGACAGACCCCCGAGCAAACUUUCUAGCGGCUUCGGUGCGGGGGGCGGGGGGUGGCUGCGGCGGCGGGCUCCGUCCCCCGGCCGAGUCCGCGCCUGGGAGCCGGUGCCUCCGGGCUGGCAGCGGCGGGAGCCCCAGCUGGGAGCGAGCUGUCAUCCUCUGCCCCAUCUGACUUCACAGAAAAGAUCUGCUUCAAGACGGGGUGUCAACUGCUACGAGAACCAAGGUGGGGUUCGGCAAGCUGCCAUCUGCAAACAGUAGGUUCACUGCUUCCUGGUGCUAGGUCAUAAGCAUGAUUUGCAUCAGCUAACUGGUUACCUACCAGUUGUCCUGCAACUUCUCUGCUAUCUUCCCUUUCCAGUUAAGACAUUCAAUUAAUCUUUUAACUGAGAAUUUCCUUAGGUGAGUCUUAGAUUUCAUGUUGAUCCAGGUGAGUGGAUGUUUCCUCACUCAUUGGAUUGUUGCCUUAAAUGACUAAGAACUAGAAGUGAUACCAAAACCUCCUAACCUCUUCACAUUACUGCCAAAAGGCAGUCCUGGGAACUGCCUCACCCAGGCAUUAAGAAAAGUUGGUGGCACUACAAAUCUUCAAAGAAACAUCUGUCCGCUAUGCACCUCUUUGGCCACAUUACUGAAAUGGUUACUAGCAAAGUUAUUUGGUUUUUAGUUAUUUAAACCAAGGUUAAAAGGUUGUGGUAGUUAAACCCAUUCCAUGCCCACUGAGGAGGAAGUUUUCUCUUUUAGGAUUGAUAUUGUGCAAUUCAUUUCACUGCCUAGACUAGUUUGAAUUUAAUUUGAAGGAUAAUUUUAUUCUUAAAUAAAAAGAGAUGUUACUUUUUUUUUAAGAUUUAUUCAUUUAUUUUGGAAGGUGAGGGAGUAACAGAGGGAAAGAGAAACUUAAGCAGACUCUGUGCUGAGUGUGGAGCUCCAUACGGAACUCUGUCUCAUGAUUCUGAGAUCAUGACCUGAGCCAAAACCAAGGGUCUGAGGCUUAACCAACCUCACCACCCAGGCACCCCAGCAGUUACAUUUUUAAUGUAAAAUAUUUUUUCUUCUAUACAGCUUAUGGGCACCUUAUGAAAGUGUGGUGUUUGCCUAAAAAGACUUCAGCCCUAAGAUGGACUCCAGGGUCUUGUAAUCCCAAGUUAAUUAAAAAUGAUUUUUUAUGAAUAUUUAAGAGUCAUUGUUCAGCACAACAUUCUAUAGACUUGUUUGUCUUCUAUAAAAUUCAAAAUAAUUCUAGGAAUGUUGCUAGGAUUAAAAUGCCUAUAUAGAGCCGAUACUAGGAAUGACAACAAUUUCUGAAUAUUUGACCCCCAUGAUAUCUCCCUCUUUGUCUGGUAGUGUCUGUUCCAUUGAAAC
rnacentral:lncRNA from 1 species